rnacentral:lncRNA from 1 species
AGUGGGGCGAGACGGGAGGCAGGGGAGCGAGGGCUUACGCAGCUUUUGCCUGGAAGGAAUGGCAGCCCUCCCCUUCACCUGGCUGAUACAGCAGCUGUUCCUUUCCGGUUGUGGCGCAGUAGAGGGGGGAGGAGGGAGAUGGGUUGGCGCAGGCUCCGCCUAGCAAGCUUGGCAGCCACCCCUUACCCACGGUGCAGCAGUAGAGGACUGGAGGGGAAUGUGGCUAGAGGCCAGGCAUUUGUACCACCUACGCCUGUGUGGGAUGGCAGCUGCACUGGGCUACUGCUUUUCUGUUAUGCAGUAAACUGGAGUGGUGGGGGCCUGGAGGCCAUCAAAGGUGCAGCCACCCCAAGACCUGCUGUGCUGUUUCAGCAAGCCUCCAUUAAUGAUAGAGAUUUUAAAUUGGUUUUCUGACUCCCUGGAAAAUCGUACCUUUUCAUUUUUGUAGUUCCUCUCUUUGUUGUCUAAGGCAGGGUACUAGCUGGUUUGGAUUUAUUCACAGACCUUGCCUUAUCUUGAUUUCACUAUUCUAUCUGACCAGUGUGUCAUUGCCGAAAUGUUUUCCACAUUUAUAGUUACUCUGUAUCUUUAUGUUUCCCUUACCCUGUUCCUUUUCCUAAUAAACAUCUUUGUUUUACAAAAAAUUUUGUUUAUAAGGUGUCAAGGAUGCCAAGAUAACCUCCUUUGUUUAUCACCGCCCUCUGUUUAGCUAUUUUUUACGAAGAAUCAUUUAAGCAGGUUGUGAGUACUGCCCUCAAUGACUUGGACAAUGAAGUUUUAAAAAUCUUAUUUAGACCUGUCACUGGUCCUGUCUCCUUUUUUUUUUUUUUUUUUUUUUGGUGGCCAGAGCCAG